GUAACAUAUUUUGCGCCAAACUUUGAACUGAUAAAACGUUCGAUAUCCAUUAAAACUGCACGCUCUUCAAAGUUAUCAUAUCUUUAAAACGUAUUCAAGCAGACGCCAAUUGAUGACUGAAUUGUAACGCUUCCCACCCGUACAUUAUAUCCCAAGAACCGAGACUAUCAAAGUACAGACCUCAGCCAGUACAAUAAAUGACUCAGGGCAAUGUUCAGGAACAUCGUUUUGGAUCUCUCAGCCAACCCGACGCCUGCUUACGUUACAUGUGACUAUUGGUCUUGCCUCCACCACUUCUUAGCUCUCCCUCUGGACCACACUGAAGCAUUCAACUACUUUAAGCGCUUUUAGAAGCACGUUACCUGACGACAGCCGGAACAAAGCAAGCACAACGCAAGCUGUUUGCUGCUAACUAUUCAGGAACUGGAACUAUUCAGGAUAAUAGUAACAAAGAAAGAGCUGGAAAAGUACUAUUUUACAAUCUUGGCUGCAAACCAUGCAAUAAUAUGAAAUAUACUGAUUUAAAAAUGAUGUUUGUCUACUGUUUUGGAAGCAUACAACAUCUUGUUAUUGUAGACCCAUUGGCCCAUGAGCAAUUGUGCAAUAAAAUAGUUUUAACAGAAGCGGUUUCUCCUGCAAACAAAUAGUGAAGGUCCUGAAGGACUACAAUCCUGAAGUGGGUGUAGUUUUCCAUGCUUACGAAAAACCUUCUUCGCAAAUGCAUCAAAAAUAAAAGCACAACUCUCAUAUGGAAAUUGCACUUCUUAUGAUCUCCACAUUUCAGUAUUCAAUAAUCUUUUAAACUUUUAGUUUAUAUGAAUGUGUAAUGUAUGAUCUAUUAUCAGAAAAAUUAAUUAUUACAAGUCUUAAAUUAUUAAAUUAGAUUACAUUCUGGAGAAGCUGCACAAGUUAAAGAAGUAACAUUGGGAUAUUUAAGUAGAAUUGCAAGGUAAUUCAGAGCCUGCUUGAAAAACCUCUUCAAUAGAAAUAUAGAAAACACAACUAUUAAAAUAAUAAAGAUUAUCAUACAUAAAUUUAUUACGUAAAAGAAUUUUCACCAAUACGUCAUAUAUCUUCAUCGGUGCUGAAAUAUUAUAGCAAUAUUUUGGAAUGCUGUACACCAAGAGGAUCUUAAUGCUGAGUUAACACAUAGUUCCUAAACGCAAUUUUUGUUAAAAUCAUAAUUUCUAGGUAUAUGGACCAUAUAAAAUGUUCACAUUAGCAGGUACUUUGUGGACUAUAGUUUAAACCCCAAUCAAUUAUAGACAGAUAACUUGCUUGACAACCACCCAUGUUUAUGAUGAAGUUUAAAUCGUGGUAAAUGCACUUCAUCCAGUGAAUUCUAAAUAGCCAUUUUUUACUUUCAGUUGUCAUAUGAAAAUCCCCCCGGGGACCGACUGGAGGGCAACUUCCGGUGUUUUGGCUAGUAGUAGACUUCUGGGUUAAAAAAAUCAGUCUUCACAGUGACGAGGACUUAGAACAGAUCUAACCCUAAACCCUUUCUGUUUAACCCUGACAGUGACUAGAGACAUCGUUUAUUCGAUGGUCGGUCCUUGGUGGUUUUGCUCCCCUUGCUCAAACCUGGGGGACAAUAUUUGACAUUGAACUCUGUUUUCUUUGUUGGCGGCUGCUUGCCAGCCACGUUGACUUGGGUUUCAUAUUCCCUGACUGUGUAUUUUUGUCCCACUGGGUUGAUCGGGGGGAAGGAUUAUGUCUCCUUGUAUCACCUCUAAAGGUUGGGGCAUCAUAACUGAAUAUAAGCUUCUCUAAGCCUCUGUCUGGGAGUACUUCCUCAUUGGUAUAUUGUCAUAUUGCCGAAGGACAUGCUUGCAGGCUUCUGUCUUCUUAUGCAAGUUUUAGCAUUAAGUUGAAAACUUCGGCUGUUAAUUAAUAAACGUUAAAUAUUUGCUUCUAGUACAAUUGUUGCCUAACCACGAACUCAGCUUCAACAGCUUGCGAUGGUUAUUCCGUAAUGGGAACACUUUGUGAGAAAAUUCCUUCCAAAAAAUUUAUAACUUUUAAUGGUGGGUACGCUUAUUAAACUGGCACUCUGUGACUUUUUACCCUGGGGACAUUUGAAGGCGGAAGUUUAUAAAAUACAGAUCAUUGAAUCCGAGGAGAAAUUACAGUAAUACCUCAGUAAAUGAUAAG